UACAGAGAGGUGACAUUGGAGAGAACAAUUGCUAGGUUGUUUGGUCACAUUUGCUGGUAUGAAUGAAGCUUAAGAAAAGCUGUCUUUGGAUUGCUACUAAUAGUCAUCUUCAACAUGCCUGCUCUCUCUCUCUCUCUCUCUCUUUCUCGGUUCCCUUAUGAAAUAAGGGCACACUGGUAAUAAACAAAGCACUAUAAAAGAUCAGAUUGACGUAUUCCGUGGGCUCAUUCAAUGUCGGGAGCGAGGCUUCUGCACACCAUCGCUGGUGCUUUCGGCUCCAAAAGCCGGGCCGGGACGGACAGACGGUGGUGGGAUGAGGCUAGACCCCCUUCUCCCUUUCUGGAACCUUGCCGAAUCCAUCAGGGCCGUGUCCCUGGUCAGCUAACCCACACCUGACGGCUAAGGGACACAGGAAAAGAUGGCAGGGUAGAGACCCUUGGAUUUGCUCCUUUGGAUUUUGGAUUUUGACCUGAGUUCCUUUGUCAGUCCUCAUGCCAGACCCAGUGGUCAAAGAAGGUGGAGACUCAACGGCUGUUUCUUUUUCCUUCAUUUUUCAAACAAAGAAGCUUCAUGAGAACAUUAAGCCCCAAAGAGAAUUGUGUUCAUUGCAAGACUUGUCAAGGAUCGGUGGAGAGAUUUAUAUAAACAAAUCAUUCAGUUCUUCCUUUGGUGACCUUGGUCCUGAGAGUGAAUGCGAUGGUCCUACAGCUUUUUGGCCCUUCAUCAGUACAGAAGCUGCAGUCUGUGCUCAGCAAGACCUCACCAAAUGCAGGAAAAUUAAAGAGAGAAAUGGUCCAUGGCGUAUUCUUACCCACCAUAAAUUGGCGUCAUUUUGGCCACCAUCCAGGGGAGAGAAACCAGCCUCCUGAAACAGAGAAAAAAGAUCAGAAGCUGCUGUAAGGAAGGGAGAUGCAACUUUCCUGGGAAAGAAUUAUCCUUUGCUCCAUUGCUCAGUCAUUCAACAAACACCACCCAGGACAUACAUCGAGUGGAAUAAGGCCUAACGCUGUCUUUCAGAGGCAGCUUUUAGGGUCAGCCUUCACAAACAGUGGCUCAACAUCUCUACAGUGUCAGCCCAGCCCCAGGCUUCUGCCUCGACCAACCCAUGAUGACCAGGCAUGUGACCUGUCCCCAGCCGGCCGGGACACGCUGCUCCUGCCAUUAUUUC